rnacentral:rRNA from 1 species
AUUGAACGCUGGCGGCAUGCCUUACACAUGCAAGUCGAACGGCAGCACGGGAGCUUGCUCCUGGUGGCGAGUGGCGAACGGGUGAGUAAUGCAUCGGAACGUGCCCUGAAGUGGGGGAUAACGUAGCGAAAGUUACGCUAAUACCGCAUAUUCUGUGAGCAGGAAAGCAGGGGAUCUUCGGACCUUGCGCUUUUGGAGCGGCCGAUGUCGGAUUAGCUAGUUGGUGGGUAAAGGCCCACCAAGGCGACGAUCCGUAGCGGGUCUGAGAGGAUGAUCCGCCACACUGGAACUGAGACACGGUCCAGACUCCUACGGGAGGCAGCAGUGGGGAAUUUUGGACAAUGGGCGCAAGCCUGAUCCAGCCAUGCCGCGUGAGUGAAGAAGGCCU